GACGAACGCUGGCGGCGUGCCUAAUACAUGCAAGUAGAACGCUGAAGGAGGAGCUUGCUUCUCUGGAUGAGUUGCGAACGGGUGAGUAACGCGUAGGUAACCUGCCUGGUAGCGGGGGAUAACUAUUGGAAACGAUAGCUAAUACCGCAUAAGAGUAGAUGUUGCAUGACAUUUGCUUAAAAGGUGCAAUUGCAUCACUACCAGAUGGACCUGCGUUGUAUUAGCUAGUUGGUGAGGUAACGGCUCACCAAGGCAACGAUACAUAGCCGACCUGAGAGGGUGAUCGGCCACACUGGGACUGAGACACGGCCCAGACUCCUACGGGAGGCAGCAGUAGGGAAUCUUCGGCAAUGGACGGAAGUCUGACCGAGCAACGCCGCGUGAGUGAAGAAGGGUGUCGGAUCGUAAAGCUCUGUUGUAAGAGAAGAACGAGUGUGAGAGUGGAAAGUUCACACUGUGACGGUAUCUUAACAGAAAGGGACGGCUAACUACGUG
rnacentral:rRNA from 1 species